rnacentral:rRNA from 1 species
GAUGAACGCUGACAGCAUGCUUAACACAUGCAAGUCAACUGUGGCGGACGGGUGAGUAACGCGUAAAGAACUUGCCUAACAGUUAGGGACAACAUUUGGAAACGAAUGCUAAUUCCUGAUACUGUGAGAGAGCUUUGCGUCCCAUUAGCUAGUUGGAGAGGUAACGGCUCACCAAGGCGAUGAUGGGUAGCCGGCCUGAGAGGGUGAUCGGCCACAAGGUGACUGGGACCCGGCCCUUCCUCCUGCGGGAGUCAGCAGUGGGUAAUAUUGGACAAGGGACCAAAGUCUGAUCCAGCAAUUCUGUGUGCAAGAUUAAGUUUUCGGAAUGUAAAGUGCUUUCAGUUGGGAAGCGGUACCAACAGAAGAAGUGACGGCUAAAUACGUGCCAGCCGCCGCGGUAAUAC